rnacentral:rRNA from 1 species
AGUGAACGCUGGCGGUAGGCCUAACACAUGCAAGUCGAACGGCAGCACAGUAAUAGCUUGCUCUUACGGGUGGCGAGUGGCGGACGGGUGAGGAAUACAUCGGAAUCUACUUUUUCGUGGGUGAUAACGUAGGGGAACUUACGCUAAUACCGCAUACGACCUACGUGGGAAAGCAGGGGAUCUUCGGACCUUGCGCGAUUGAAUGAGCCGAUGUCGGAUUAGCUAGUUGGCGGGGUAAAGGCCCACCAAGGCGACGAUCCGUAGCUGGUCUGAGAGGAUGAUCAGCCACACUGGAACUGAGACACGGUCCAGACUCCUACGGGAGGCAGCAGUGGGGAAUAUUGGACAAUGGGCGCAAGCCUGAUCCAGCCAUACCGCGUGGGUGAAGAAGGCCUUCGGGUUGUAAAGCCCUUUUGUUGGGAAAGAAAAGCAGCAGGUUAAUACCCCGCUGUUCUGACGGUACCCAAAGAAUAAGCACCGGCUAACUUCGUG